rnacentral:rRNA from 1 species
GGUUGAUCCUGCCAGUAGUCAUAUGCUUGUCUCAAAGAUUAAGCCAUGCAUGUCUAAGUAUAAACAUCUUUAUACCGUGAAACUGCGUACGGCUCAUUAAAUCAGUGAUAAUUUAUUUGAUGGUACAUCUCACUACAUGGAUAACUGUAGUAAUUCUAGAGCUAAUACAUGCGUAAGGGCCCGACCUCUCGUGGGAAGGGUUGUAUUUAUUAGAUCCAAAACCAAUGGCCGGGUGGCAACAUUCGGUCUAUAUUGGUGAAUCAUAGUAACUUGACGAAUCGCAUGGCCUCUGG